rnacentral:rRNA from 1 species
AUUGAACGCUGGCGGCAUGCCUUACACAUGCAAGUCGAACGGUAACAGGUCUUCGGAUGCUGACGAGUGGCGAACGGGUGAGUAAUACAUCGGAACGUGCCCGAUCGUGGGGGAUAACGCAGCGAAAGCUGUGCUAAUACCGCAUACGAUCUACGGAUGAAAGCGGGGGAUCGCAAGACCUCGCGCGGACGGAGCGGCCGAUGGCAGAUUAGGUAGUUGGUGGGAUAAAAGCUUACCAAGCCGACGAUCUGUAGCUGGUCUGAGAGGACGACCAGCCACACUGGGACUGAGACACGGCCCAGACUCCUACGGGAGGCAGCAGUGGGGAAUAUUGGUCAAUGGGGGCAACCCUGAACCAGCCAUGCCGCGUGCAGGAAGACGGCCCUACGGGUUGUAAACUGCUUUUAUACGGGAAUAAAUCUCGCUACGUGUAGUGAGUUGAAUGUACUGUAAGAAUAAGGAUCGGCUAACUCCGUAGCCAGCAGCCGCGGUAAU